UGGGAAUUUUGGACAAUUGGGCGAAAGCCUGAUCCAGCAAUGCCGCGUGUGUGAAGAAGGCCUUCGGGUUGUAAAGCACUUUUGUCCGGAAAGAAAUCCUUGGCUCUAAUACAGUCGGGGGAUGACGGUACCGGAAGAAUAAGCACCGGCUAACUACGUGCCAGCAGCCGCGGUAAUACGUAGGGUGCAAGCGUUAAUCGGAAUUACUGGGCGUAAAGCGUGCGCAGGCGGUUUGCUAAGACCGAUGUGAAAUCCCCGGGCUCAACCUGGGAACUGCAUUGGUGACUGGCAGGCUAGAGUAUGGCAGAGGGGGGUUAGAAUUCCACGUGUAGCAGUGAAAUGCGUAGAGAUGUGGAGGAAUACCGAUGGCGAAGGCAGCCCCCUGGGCAAUACUGACGCUCAUGCACGAAAGCGUGGGGAGCAAACAGGAUUAGAUACCCUGGUAGUCCACGCCCUAAACGAUGUCAACUAGUUGUUGGGGAUUCAUUUCCUAGUAACGUAGCUAACGCGUGAAGUUGACCGCCUGGGGAGUACGGUCGCAAGAUUAAAACUUAAAUGAAUUGACGGGGUCAUAGCUGUUUCCU
rnacentral:rRNA from 1 species